UUGAACGCUGGCGGCAUGCUUUACACAUGCAAGUCGAGCGCCCCGCAAGGGGAGCGGCAGACGGGUGAGUAACGCGUGGGAAUCUACCGAGCCCUACGGAAUAACGCAUGGAAACGUGUGCUAAUACCGUAUACGCCCUACGGGGGAAAGAUUUAUCGGGGUUUGAUGAGCCCGCGUUGGAUUAGCUAGUUGGUGGGGUAAAGGCCUACCAAGGCGACGAUCCAUAGCUGGUCUGAGAGGAUGAUCAGCCACAUUGGGACUGAGACACGGCCCAAACUCCUACGGGAGGCAGCAGUGGGGAAUAUUGGACAAUGGGCGCAAGCCUGAUCCAGCCAUGCCGCGUGAGUGAUGAAGGUCUUAGGAUUGUAAAGCUCUUUCACCGGAGAAGAUAAUGACGGUAUCCGGAGAAGAAGCCCCGGCUAACUUCGU
rnacentral:rRNA from 1 species